CAUCUGCAUGAUCAGCUGGACUCAUUGUCAUAGCCAUCAUAACAGGUAAGUCUAUUAAUAAUUUUUUUUACUUGUUUUAAAUUUUUAUAUUUAGAAGCUUUACAUGUUUAGAUUUAAGUUCGAAAAGAAGAUAUAGGGGAUAAAAAUUCAAUCUAACCAUCCAAAUGAUGGGUCGAAGGUGUCUAUAGCUCUAUAUCAUU
rnacentral:lncRNA from 1 species